UCACGGGAUAUUUUGUGAUGCAAUAUUGAACUCAAGCUGCAGAGCCAUUGUGGGUUUACAGAAUUAUAAUUGAUGAAAGUUUAAAAACAGGUCACGGAAAUCAAAACCGAAACUACACAAGAUGAGUGAAAAUGGAAAACAAGAAAUUUGAAGAACUACAAUGGAUAUUUACUCGAGCGUUGAUUCUUCUGUUCUGGUCAGGGAAUACCAACCUUGUGGUGAAUUGCCUACCUCCUCACCGUGCACUAAACAGAGCGUGCAAGUCAUUGUCCCUCCUAUACUAGUAUAUCAAACUGUUCCCACUAUCCUGGCUUCCCAGAAAUUCAACGAUUUAGCUUUUUCACAACUAACUUUAAUAUUCAUUACCUGAAACUCUUUUAAAAACAUUACUAGUAUA